CAGCAGCACCACUGCCCCCGUGUGAUUGGCUCGAGGUGCACCCGCCACGAAGGUCAGCUCCCCGAGGCUCAUGAUCCCCAUGGCCGAGUCCACAGAAAACCCUGGAGGACGGAAGGCAGGACAGAGGGGAAGAUGUGGAACAAGAUGGAGGAAAGGGUCAGAGGGCCCGUCGUCAUAGAAACCGAGAUCAAGCAGAGACUGGUUUAGGAGCUGGACACGCAUCUCCCCUGGAAUGGAAACAGCCUUGUUUCCGUCAUCCAGCCUUCUACCUUACCUUUCCAGUUGUAAGUUCCCGGAGCACCAAACAGUAUGAAGUUGUUAUCCGGGCUGAAACUGACAGAGAGCCCCUGCUGACAGAAGCCAAACUGCUCGUGUCCCUGCGGCCGGCCCUCGCAGAACUUCCACUCCCCUCCGUCCAGGUCGUCUCGCUCUGUCAGAUCCUCACUGAGGACGUAGCAGCGUCCGAUGGGGUCGCGAGUCUCUGCCGGUUUGUUCACGCGUUGCCUGAGCUCAUACAGGUGAGCGCAGGUCUGGUGAGGGACAGGAAAUGGCAUUAGACAGUUGAUUAUUGGGAUUUAAUGAGCUGAUACUGCGGACUUUGCAGACAAUCUAUUAAUCAUUAUAUACAUAGAGGUCCAUAUGUUAGUACAACUUAAAACGUGAACCAAACGUGAAAAUAUCCUUAACAAUGUUCACAAAUCAUUGCGUGAGAAGCAGACCAACAUUUUUAUUUUCAAACACAAGACAGGGCUUGCUUCCUGUGUUGAUGCAUUUACAGGAUGUGGUCUUCACUUACCACCACCUUCCCUCCAAUCCCCUGACUCUUGACAGUGACCCCCAGCCACUGGUUGUCUUUGCUCUCUUUGUUCAGAUUCACUAAGGGAAAACAAAGAAGGAAAUAGCAAUAGGAGUUUCCAUAAUGCAAUUGGGAUCUGAGCUCCAGGGAGCAAACAGCAAUUUGUUAUUCAAUGGAGUUAUUCAAGUUAAAAUUAUACGAUGACAAAUCACAAAAUAUUAUUCAAAUGUAUAGUCAGUACAUUUU